AGCGAACGCUGGCGGCAGGCCUAACACAUGCAAGUCGAACGAACUCUUCGGAGUUAGUGGCGGACGGGUGAGUAACACGUGGGAACGUGCCUUUAGGUUCGGAAUAACUCAGGGAAACUUGUGCUAAUACCGAAUGUGCUCUUCGGGGGAAAGAUUUAUCGCCUUUAGAGCGGCCCGCGACUGAUUAGCUAGUUGGUGAGGUAAAGGCUCACCAAGGCGACGAUCAGUAGCUGGUCUGAGAGGAUGAUCAGCCACAUUGGGACUGAGACACGGCCCAAACUCCUACGGGAGGCAGCAGUGGGGAAUCUUGCGCAAUGGGCGAAAGCCUGACGCAGCCAUGCCGCGUGAAUGAGGAAGGUCUUAGGAUUGUAAAAUUCUUUCACCGGGGACGAUAAUGACGGUACCCGGAGAAGAAGCCCCGGCUAACUUCGUG
rnacentral:rRNA from 1 species